GCAGACAGCAUUCGCUACGUAACUUAUUUGUCAUGCAGAGCUUGUACUCAGGGCUUGAACGUGUGAAGAUUUGCUGCAAAUGUGUGAACGGCUGGUUGAUUCGAUGGCUGCAUUCAACCCGGCAUCCACAAACAGACGGUGUAUUUUUCAUCUGUUGCUUGUUAUGAACUGUAAAAUCUUCCUGCAGUCUAGCACCUUAAAAAUGUAAUAAGGGUUUUGGUCAAUGUUUUAUCUCUGCAGGAAACACAGAACAGCAGCAGAAACUCAGGAAACAGUCCAGAACCAGUUUCAGUCUCAGUCAGAAGGACAGACUGGCACGGACCGGAGGACAAACACCAAGCAGAGCAGAGCGUACAUGGAGAGGCUGAACUCCAUCUAUGGUCCAUCUGAGCUGAGGCACAGUUCACAGACAUUAGGAGAGAAGGCAGUUUAAAACUAUACUUUUUUUUUGUUUUAAAGCAGCAGUUUAAAAGGAAGGCCUGUGCAAGGACACAGCACAACACAACAGCAUGGUUGAAUCAAAAGAGCUGGACGUAGAGAUGAAUGAACCACUGAGGUGAUUGCUCUUUCUUCAUGAGCUCUGUAAGGUCCUCCUGGUUCACAGAACAUGUGGCAUCAUUGAGGUUCCUGUGUGCUCGUUUAACCUCUGAGCCUUCAAAGAUGGUCUGAAGGUAACCCAUCAACCCCACAGUUGUUCUGUAUAAACUCUAUUUUUGAUUUAAACAAACCAAACCUUGAUGCUGUGUAAUACAGACAUGACCAUACUCAUGACAAACAGUUUAGACCAACGUAGGAAGUUGCAGCCAUUGAACAAACUUACUACCCAGAAGAAACCCCUCCCCCUGGGUCAGAGAUGCUUCAUCAUACAAUGGAGGACAUGAUUGUCGGAGCAAUUUGUAGUAAAACCGUGUUUGUAAAACAAUUAUUGUUAUGAGCAGCAUGAUGAAGUCGUGGUGGCUUCUGAUUGGUUCAGGGUGUAAUAGCUUAUUAAGUCAUUAAGUUGGAUCUGUGGAUCCUUGGUUUUGACUAUACGUCUUAUUAAUAUUGUUUAAAUAUUUUUAAAUAAAUAUAAAACAUUUUUUCAGUGAAAA